rnacentral:lncRNA from 1 species
AUUGCUCUGGGUGUUUCCUCCCCUACAGCAUGUUUUCUAGAAGUGAAAUCAGGUUACGAAGAGCACUAAGGCAGCUUUGAAGGGGAAGUCCUGAGAGAACAGGCGGAGACACCAGACCUGAAAUGAAUGCUGGAGGCUGGCUGAGUUGCAAUAAAAGAGCAGGGAAUCUUUUAAUGUCAAUAGGCAGCAGGCCAUCUCCAUGCCCUCUGCCGUUUUCGUCUUUACAAAUGCCAUAAGAGCCUGCCCAUGCUUCCGAUGUAAUUUCCACACCAGCCGACACGAGGAUGUAAGGAAACGGAGUUCACGCAGCACGUGGCGCAGGGCUUGAUAAACAGAACUCAGUAAGCGUGAGUUAUGACUAUUUUUUUUUAAAUUAACUUACUCUUUUACCAGUG